GUAAGACAGACACAGUGUUCCCCCACACCUCAACACAGUAAGACAGACUACAGACACACAGUUGUCCCCCCACACCUCAACACAGUAAGACAGACUACAGACACACAGUGUUCCCCCCACACCUCAACACAGUAAGACAGACACACAGUGCCCCCCCCACCUCAGGAAGACAUGUUGACUGACCUACACCCCCCUCAGGAUCCCAGUGAAAACCAACACCCUCCUUCUGGAUACAAAAACCAACACAUGUUUAUUAAAAGUUAGAACGUGUUGUGAUGAAGACAGGGGAUGAAGACAUUCAUGCUCCAGAUUCAACGAGUGGAAAGUCAUUUUGUUGUUGAAUGUUGAUUCAUGUACACCGCUAUCACAGUCUUCCUCUGCUUUCUCCUACACAAUACUAGAACCAGGGAGCACCACUGGUGCAAAUAUUUACAGACAGACAAUGUACAUUUAGAGGAUUUCCUUUCUUCUUAAUGCCGUCUUAAAAAAAAAAAUGUAUAUGAACAAGAAUUUUUUUUUUUUUUUUUUGUUUUUUUGCAUUUGAAACUCUGAAGGUGAAAGUAGCCUCUAUCUCUCUUCUUCUCUCGGUGUGUACCGUUCUCCAGCACAACAGCCCCGAGUCACUCAGCUGGGAGAACCUCAGCCUCUCAGACCCACUGGAACUGACCUGGAGUCAGGCUCACGUCACAAAUAGCACCUUAUCCCCCUAUAUAUAAGUGCACUAGUUUCGACCAGAGCUUUUGGCCAUAGGUCUCUGGUCAACAGUAAUCCCCUACAUAAUGAAUAGGUUGCUAUUUGGGAUACACCCUCAGUCAGACCUGAACGGCUACAGGAAGUGGCAACAGACCGAGACACAGAACAAAACAAGAUGGAGGAAUCUGACCACAGAACAGACGUUAUGUGAAGACACUAAAAAGAGUCGUACCAGAAUGCCGAAAAAUAAACAUGUUGCUUUGGACCUUUUUUGAAGAGUAUCCUGACUGAUUCAGAACUAGCCUUUCAUCCCAGGGUAUAACAGAACUAGCCUUUCAUCCCAGGGUAUACCAGAACUAGCCUUUCAUCCCAGGGUAUAACAGAACUAGCCUUUCAUCCCAGGGUAUACCAGAACUAGCCUUUCAUCCCAGGGUAUACCAGAACUAGCCUUUCAUCCCAGGGUAUACCAGAACUAGCCUUUCAUCCCAGGGUAUACCAGAACUAGCCUUUCAUCCCAGGGUAUAACAGAACUAGCCUUUCAUCCCAGGGUAUACCAGAACUAGCCUUUCAUCCCAGGGUAUACCAGAACUAGCCUUUCAUCCCAGGGUAUACCAGAACUAGCCUUUC
ensembl:lncRNA